rnacentral:lncRNA from 1 species
GCUUUCUUCACUUCUAGAAAAAUAUGCUCUUGGAAAAGGAAUCAUUAACCUUAAUCACUCUAGGCCUACAGAUACGCUGAGUCUGCCAAGCAGAAAACCAACCACCCAACCAAGGCUUCUCG